AUACACAUUCUCAAGAUAGAAUUCUUUCUCAAGUAAGAGGACUUAAUACUCCCGUUUAUCACACAUAGUUCAUCCUAAAUUUACAUGGAAAUCAUGGUGAUCAUCUGUGUUAGUUAAUUGGCUUUAUACAAAAGAAAACUUCUCAUAUCUUUAUGACAAAAGGUAUUUUUGGAAUUUUGGAGAGUUGCCAGCUGAAGUUAGGUUCCUACCUUCUUAGAGAAACCAGAAGAUGGGGGUACUGUCUUUCUUGGUUGCAUUUCAAAGAGAUGGUUCCUCGGCCCCUGAAAAAGAUAUUUCUGGAUGCUGGAGAUGGCAAGGGGCUUAUUUAGCUUUUAAAAAGACUUAUAUACAUUUCAAAACAUGGGAAAAGAAACUUACAAGUUUUCUAAAAUAAAUGCUGUAAGAAAGGGAAGUGGGGAAAAAUUUCUUCCCUUAUUUUCUACAGGGAAAAUUAGGCCUCUAUUUUCAAUUUCUAUUUGCCCUUGCGCUACUUAAGCCCUAUGAGAGGAUUCCAGGAUGCUUCCACGGACCAUCGACAACUACUUGGCUUUGAACACUGCAUUCCACUUAGACAUAAAAAUACCGUUUCUUCAUAGCCAUAUGUUAAUUUAUAAAAUGUGAUUAUAGAUGCUAAUUUUGAGGGAAAACAUUCAAAAUAUAUGUUAUUUACCUAUUUUAAAUGUGAUUAUAAUUGAUCACUUUGAAAAAUAAAAUAUUCAGAGAUAUAGAUUACUUAUAUUUUCUAAAAUAAUAGAAUGCAGUCAUCCAGGAAGAUAAAAAAUAGACACCUGGAACCUGAAAAUCUUUCUUGUGUUUCCUUUAGGGAUCUAUAAAGCCAUGUGAAAUGAAAACACAUGCAUAUUCAAAACUAUAAUGAUAAAGUAGUAUAUAUUUGAAAGUUUCUUAGGGAAAUAAAAUUUUAAACCAGUAAUUAUGGUUAUAUGUGUAGGUGUCUGUGGGCUGGGGCCAUGAAAAACAUAUAAACAGCUGUCUCAAACUAUAUAUAUACUUUGCCCCAAAAUGAUGCUGUCAUUCACUUAGUGAUUUGGUAUUGAUUGGAUGGCAGAUGGUUUCACUGUCAAUCUUAUGGAGAAGGAAAACUUCAUUGAAAAUAAUCUAUUUAGAUGUGUGCUGUGUCACACAAAAGCAAUUAUUACUAUUGGAAUACAAAAUCCACAAAGAUAAUCAGAAACAUUAAAUAUCUAACUUUUUUGAACACUUAGCCUAGAAACUUUAGAAUUUAGAAGAAAUAAAAUCAACCACAAAGGGGUAAAAUCGUUGAUUUAUAGAAAUGUAAAACUUCAGAACGUCAAAUCGUGUGAAAUGAGAAAAUAGAGGCAAGGAAUACAACAGAUGUUGGAUUAAACUUUCAAAGGCAAUAUUAUGGUUGAAUUGAAGGAACAUGGCUGUUUCCUUCCAUCUUGACUUUUUCUUGUUUCUUUCUCUGUUCUUCUUAUUGUCAUCUCUGUUGCUACAUUAAUAUCUGCAACCCAGAGCCCUGUGAAGGCACCUUACUGAAAGCACAAGCCACCAGAUUUUGUGAGAUGUAGUGUUCACUUGAUGAAGCACCAGUGUUGAGAAAACUUGUCACUGCAGCAAUGCUACUGCUGUCUUCUCCAAGGGCAC
ensembl:lncRNA